AGAAACACUAUGAACUUUCACCCUAUGUAGCUAAAAAGACCCCAAAGCAAGGAAAGAGUGUGAAAACUUUUGGGAAUAAUUGAAAAAAAGUAUAUCUCUGCUAAAAGGCUGAAAGACCUGGUGCAUGAAAUCCACUAAAAGCAGCUCUCCGGUCCAGUGAAGCACAGGACAAUUGGCAGCACCAGGAAGGUUAUCACUGUCUGCAUCAGAUGACUCUCCUAUGAGAGGUCAAAACCCCAUUGGAUUUGUAAUGAGGAGGUGGAUGAGGCUGUAAAGUCAUUCCCAAGAUGGAGCAGUGAGGGCCUUGAGGCAAGAAGGAGCCAAUGAAGGGAAGAAAGGAAAUGGACCGAAAGAUCAUAAUCAGUGAAUUUCUGCAUCCUACCCCAAGGCUGUAUUCCUCAGAGAACGGGAUAGUGCCAGGAAACCAAAGACACACCUACUGGCUGAUUUUGAUGCCGGGAUCAGAAACUGAUGGAGAAUUUGGGGAUACUGAAGUCUGUAAUGGGAAGCUCCAGAACAUGACUGAAAGCAGAUUCCCUUAGGAGUGCCCAGGCCUACAAAGGCCAGGCAACAGUGUAGUGGGGAACGGCACAAGAACUUUGUGAAGAUUCCAGAACAGAAAUAAGUGGAGAGACACAGGACAGGACAGAGGGAACUGGCAGAGGGUUUUGUGACUAUAGGCUGGGAAUGAUUGCAAGACAGGAAUGAUGGGUGUUGUGUCUGAGGUGAAUCAACAGCUUCAGCUCGGGCCACAGACAGCUGUGUUUAGAGGUCUGUGGUGAAGGGACUGCAGGCAGUUCUGGCUACUGAACUGGUGUUGCAGGGGGUCAUAAAGUGCACUUCAAAUUCUGAGAAA